GACGAACCGAGCGAACGUUAUUCGGAAUCACUGGGCUUAAAGGGCGCGUAGGCGGGCGGCCAAGUCCGGGGUGAAAGCCUCCAGCUCAACUGGAGAAGUGCCUCGGAUACUGGCCAUCUUGAGGGAGGUAGGGGCGUGCGGAACUUCCGGUGGAGCGGUGAAAUGCGUAGAUAUCGGAAGGAACACCGGUGGCGAAAGCGGCGCGCUGGACCUCUUCUGACGCUGAGGCGCGAAAGCCAGGGGAGCAAACGGG
rnacentral:rRNA from 1 species